UACGUAGGGCGCAAGCGUUGCCCGGAAUUAUUGGGCGUAAAGAGCUCGUAGGCGGUUUGUCGCGUCUGCUGUGAAAACCUGAGGCUCAACCUCGGGCUCGCAGUGGGUACGGGCAGACUAGAGUGCGGUAGGGGUGACUGGAAUUCCUGGUGUAGCGGUGGAAUGCGCAGAUAUCAGGAGGAACACCGAUGGCGAAGGCGGGUCACUGGGCCGCAACUGACGCUGAGGAGCGAAAGCAUGGGGAGCGAACAGG
rnacentral:rRNA from 1 species